rnacentral:rRNA from 1 species
UUUGUCUGGAAACCAUAGAGCUGUGGCACCACCUGAUCCCAUUCCGAACUCAGAAGUGAAACACAGUAUCGCCGAUGGUAGUGUGGGGUCUCCCCAUGCGAGAGUAGGUCAUUUCCAGGCGC